rnacentral:rRNA from 1 species
AGAGUGAACGCUGGCGGUAGGCCUAACACAUGCAAGUCGAACGGCAGCACAGUAAGAGCUUGCUCUUAUGGGUGGCGAGUGGCGGACGGGUGAGGAAUACAUCGGAAUCUACCUUUUCGUGGGGGAUAACGUAGGGAAACUUACGCUAAAUACCGCAUAAGACCUUCGGGUGAAAGCCGGGGACCUUCGGGCCUGGCGCGGAUAGAUGAGCCGAUGUCGGAUUAGCUUGUGGACGGGU